rnacentral:rRNA from 1 species
GCUUUGGAGGAUGGACCGUGGAUGUUUGACAAAGAUUUGGUGGUGGUUGAGGACUAUGAUCCAGCAAAAAGAAUUGAGGAUUAUUAAUUCGAUGGUAUCCCAAUAUGGGUCAGAAUUUUCAACCUUCCCCUAGGCAUGAUGCAUGAGGAUUUGAUAGAGGAGAUAGGCAAUAUCAGUGGGAGAUUUGUGGAGGUGGAUGCGGGUGUGGACGGAAUAGCCAUUGGAAAAUUCUUGAGGGUAAAGAUCAGAAUGAAGAUCAACAAACCAAUAAUGAGGGGUUUUAUGCUGGAUGAUGAGGAGAGCAAUGGAGGGGAGAAGAGAAAGAAGAAGAUGAGCAUAAACGGUAAGGAAGACGAGGAGGAGGAGGGGCUCUGGUGUCGUUUUGAAUAUGAAUUCCUUCCCGAUUUUUGCUACACAUGCGGUCUUAUUGGUCAUGUUGCGAAGGAGUGCUCUAUCAGAGUCAAUAGAGGAGAGAAGGCCCAGUUUGGUCUGUGGCUACGAGCAGAUAUCGGUAGAAGGAGAUUUAGUUCUGAGGAGGACCGUAUUUGGAGGGGCAAAGGAGCCAUCUCUGGAGGCAGCAGGCUCUAUGGCAGUGGACGCUCAAGUGGCAGAACGGGCAGUGGGAGUGGUAGUGAUAGUUUAAGCUGGAGGAGUUAG